UACCCCGUGGUGUAAUUGGUAACACAACAGAUUUUGGUUCUGUUUUCGGGGGUUCGAGUCCCUCCGGGGUAGCCA
rnacentral:tRNA from 2 species